rnacentral:rRNA from 1 species
UGAGUAACGCGUGAGCAACCAACCUUGUACAGGGGGAUAACACGUGGAAACACGUGCUAAUACCGCAUAAGACUACGGUACUGCAUGGUACAGUAGUAAAAGGAGGGAACUCCGGUACGAGACGGGCUCGCGUCCCAUUAGCUGGUUGGUGGGGUAACGGCCCACCAAGGCGACGAUGGGUAGCCGGCCUGAGAGGGUGUCCGGCCACACUGGGACUGAGACACGGCCCAGACUCCUACGGGAGGCAGCAGUGGGGAAUAUUGCGCAAUGGGGGGAACCCUGACGCAGCGACGCCGCGUGAGCGAAGAAGGCCUUCGGGUCGUAAAGCUCUGUCUUUGGGGAAGAAGAAAGUGACGGUACCCAAGGAGGAAGCCCCGGCUAACUACGUGCCAGCAGCCGCGGUAACACGUAGGGGGCGAGCGUUGUCCGGAAUUACUGGGCGUAAAGGGUGCGUAGGCGGCCUGAUAAGUCAAGUGUGAA